rnacentral:rRNA from 1 species
UGUGCCCUUGAGGCGUGGCUUCCGGAGCUAACGCGUUAAAUCGACCGCCUGGGGAGUACGGCCGCAAGGUUAAAACUCAAAUGAAUUGACGGGGGCCCGCACAAGCGGUGGAGCAUGUGGUUUAAUUCGAUGCAACGCGAAGAACCUUACCUGGUCUUGACAUCCACAGAACUUUCCAGAGAUGGAUUGGUGCCUUCGGGAACUGUGAGACAGGUGCUGCAUGGCUGUCGUCAGCUCGUGUUGUGAAAUGUUGGGUUAAGUCCCGCAACGAGCGCAACCCUUAUCCUUUGUUGCCAGCGGUUCGGCCGGGAACUCAAAGGAGACUGCCAGUGAUAAACUGGAGGAAGGUGGGGAUGACGUCAAGUCAUCAUGGCCCUUACGACCAGGGCUACACACGUGCUACAAUGGCAUAUACAAAGAGAAGCGACCUCGCGAGAGCAAGCGGACCUCAUAAAGUAUGUCGUAGUCCGGAUUGGAGUCUGCAACUCGACUCCAUGAAGUCGGAAUCGCUAGUAAUCGUAGAUCAGAAUGCUACGGUGAAUACGUUCCCGGGCCUUGUACACACCGCCCGUCACACCAUGGGAGUGGGUUGCAAAAGAAGUAGGUAGCUUAACCUUCGGGAGGGCGCUUACCACUUUGUGAUUCAUGACUGGGGUGAA